GAUGAAGAACGUAGCGAAAUGCGAUAAGUAAUGUGAAUUGCAGAAUUCAGUGAAUCAUCGAAUCUUUGAACGCACAUUGCGCCCCUUGGUAUUCCGAGGGGCAUGCCUGUUCGAGCGUCAUUUCAACCCCUCAAGCUUCGGCUUGGUGUUGGGCCGCGCCGCUGCACCAGCAGCUGGCGGGCCUCAAAAUCAGUGGCGGUGCCGUCUCGGCUCUAAGCGUAGUAACAUCUCUCGCUCUGGAGACCUGGCGGUGGCUUGCCAGACAACCCCCAACUUUCUUUAAGGUUUGACCUCGGAUCAGGUAGGGAUACCCGCUGAACUUAAGCAUAUCAAUAAGCGGAGGA
rnacentral:misc_RNA from 1 species